AACGAACGCUGGCGGCGUGGAUAAGACAUGCAAGUCGCACGGAGUGCCUUCGGGCACUGAGUGGCGCACGGGUGAGUAACACGUGAGUAACCUGCCCCCAAGGCAGGGAUAGCCCCGGGAAACUGGGAUUAAUACCUGAUGGUCUCGCAAGAGUAAAGCAGCAAUGCGCUUGGGAGGGGCUCGCGUCUGAUUAGCUAGUUGGUGAGGUAACGGCCCACCAAGGCGACGAUCAGUAGCCGACCUGAGAGGGUGAUCGGCCACAUUGGGACUGAGACACGGCCCCAGACUCCUACGGGAGGCAGCAGUGGGGAAUCUUCCGCAAUGGACGAAAGUCUGACGGAGCAAUGCCGCGUGAGUGAUGAAGGUUUUCGGACCGUAAAGCUCUUUUGUUUAUGACGAAUGUGCAUGAUGUGAACAAUGUUGUGUAAUGACGGUAGUAAACGAAUAAGCCACGGCUAACUACGUG
rnacentral:rRNA from 1 species